AAUAAAUGCAGUUUUGCACUAUUCACGUACAACGUUUGACCGUUCGUCCUAUUUAAAAAAAUUUUCUAUGAUUAGUAUUUUUAUUGCUAUUAGAUGAUAAAAUAUGAAUAGUACUUUAUGUGUGACUAAAUAUUUUCAAUUUUUUCACAAAAAUUUCAAAUAAGACGGACGGUCAAACGUUGGGCACGAAUAUCCACGGCUGCACUUAUU
rfam:Oryza nivara chromosome 3, whole genome shotgun sequence.